UAUUUGAGACCGGCGCACGGGUGCGUAACGCGUAUGCAAUCUACCUUUUACAGAGGGAUAGCCCAGAGAAAUUUGGAUUAAUACCUCAUAGUAUAGUGAGUUGGCAUCAACACACUAUUAAAGUCACAACGGUAAAAGAUGAGCAUGCGUCCCAUUAGCUAGUUGGUAAGGUAACGGCUUACCAAGGCAACGAUGGGUAGGGGUCCUGAGAGGGAGAUCCCCCACACUGGUACUGAGACACGGACCAGAYUCCUACGGGAGGCAGCAGUGAGGAAUAUUGGUCAAUGGGCGCAAGCCUGAACCAGCCAUGCCGCGUGCAGGAUGACGGUCCUAUGGAUUGUAAACUGCUUUUGCACAGGAAGAAACACUCGGUCGUGACCGAGCUUGACGGUACUGUGAGAAUAAGGAUCGGCUAACUCCGUGCCAGCAGCCGCGGUAAUACGGAGGAUCCAAGCGUUAUCCGGAAUCAUUGGGUUUAAAGGGUCCGUAGGCGGCCAGAUAAGUCAGUGGUGAAAGCCCAUCGCUCAACGAUGGAACGGCCAUUGAUACUGUUUGGCUUGAAUUAUUUGGAAGUAACUAGAAUAUGUAGUGUAGCGGUGAAAUGCUUAGAGAUUACAUGGAAUACCAAUUGCGAAGGCAGGUUACUACAAAUUGAUUGACGCUGAUGGACGAAAGCGUGGGUAGCGAACAGGAUUAGAUACCCUGGUAGUCCACGCCGUAAACGAUGGAUACUAGCUGUUGGGAGCAAUCUCAGUGGCUAAGCGAAAGUGAUAAGUAUCCCACCUGGGGAGUACGUUCGCAAGAAUGAAACUCAAAGGAAUUGACGGGGGCCCGCACAAGCGGUGGAGCAUGUGGUUUAAUUCGAUGAUACGCGAGGAACCUUACCAAGGCUUAAAUGUAGAUUGACCGGUUUGGAAACAGACUUUUCGCAAGACAAUUUACAAGGUGCUGCAUGGUUGUCGUCAGCUCGUGCCGUGAGGUGUCAGGUUAAGUCCUAUAACGAGCGCAACCCCUGUUGUUAGUUGCCAGCGAGUCAUGUCGGGAACUCUAGCAAGACUGCCAGUGUAAACUGUGAGGAAGGKGGGGAUGACGUCAAAUCAUCACGGCCCUUACGCCUUGGGCUACACACGUGCUACAAUGGCCGGUACAGAGAGCAGCCACUACGCAAGUAGGAGCGAAUCC
rnacentral:rRNA from 1 species